AUGGACAGGCUUCCCUUCUACCUCCUGCCCCUGGUUUUCUCCACAGGGCUCUGUGCUCUGCCUGUGCUGACCCAGCCCCCAUCUGCUUCUGCCUCCCUGGGAGCCUCGGCCAAGCUCACCUGCACCCUGAGCAGUGAGCACAGCACCUACACCAUUGCAUGGCAUCAGCAACAGCCCGGGAAGGCCCCUCGGUAUUUGACGUACGUUAAGAGUGAUGGAAGCCACACCAAUGGGGACGGGAUCCCCGAUCGCUUCUCGGGCUCCAGCUCUGGGGCUGACCGCUACUUAACCAUCUCGAACCUCCAGCCUGAGGACGAGGCGGAGUAUAUCUGUGGUGAGACACAUACAAUUGAUGGGCAGGUCGGUAAGCCACAGUGACACAGACAAAGGGGAAUUGAGACUGAAACCUCCCUUCCCCUGUCCCCAACUCCCCACAGGGAAGAAACCUAGAUCUUGGGGUUCCAAUGGUGACUAUGGAAGACAUAGCAGUGAACGUCUUCACUCUGGGUGCAGCACAGUCUAUGACGGGUCCUGUCAGGACUGA